GGAUGGUCAUGCAGUGAGCAGGCUCUUCUACUCCCCAGAGAGGAAAAAGGUGUUCGUGCUGCCCCUCUUCCUGCUUCCUCUUGUUCUGCACGUUGCACAUACUUCAAGACUGAGAAUAUGGUUUUCUACACAUCACAUAAUGAGACCUCCACAGUGAUCAGCUUUGCAGCUACAAGGGAAAGGAAGGACAAAGGCUUUGGCACUGAGCUGUUCUGUGGAAGCAGGGCUCCAGAAGCCAUACAAGUGAUGCCAGCGCCAGCAAGCUUCAUGGACACCCUGGUAUCAACCUGCCCCAGGACUCUGGAAGGGCUGAAGCAGUCUGGCAGGAAGCCAGCAAGGCCUGCAUCUCUGCAGAGCGUUUCAGCUGUCUUGCGAUGUUGCUGAGUGGCCCUGGGAGACCAGCUUACUUCUUCCAUCGCAGCUGCCCGUUGACAAGUCAGCAGCUGAGUCUCCCUCUGGUCUUUGAAGACAGGUCUAUGGCAAGAGGAGUGCCCGAAAUGAAGGGAACUUUCUGUCUCUCAGUUCUCAGCAAUGAAAAUAAAUCAAAUUGCAUUAGAUCCCAAGGAUGUCUACCUAAAGGCAUUUUAAAAGGAUACAGAGGUGGGAAAGGUUAUCCAGACAACCUAAAAGUACAGCUUCUCAUGUCAGAAUCAACAGACCUAGGGAAAGAUGAGACACCCCUCUGCAAAGGACAAGUAGCAGAGACAUCCUGUGCCUUCAAAAUAAAGCCUGUGCUGUCGGAGCUUGCCCUAAGGAACUAUCCAGAAUCAGGGCUUUAGUGGUGAGAGUUUUACAGGUGAAUAGAUGAAAACUUUUCUGUCCAGGCUCAAUUUAUUCUUGAUGAGAAGGUUGUCUGUGCUGGAUUUACGUUUUUCUGUAUAGGCAUAGAACAUUUACCCAGCAUCAAUGUCCCUGUAUGCCUAGUGUACUGCACUGACUGUUGGCAUACUACUUUCUCAUAUCCCUUGAAUAUUUCCUACCUUUUUUUUUAUAAUACUUUGUUACCAUGAGCAGGGUGUCCCAUCCCUCAUUUUUGCUAUUUUGCAGCACUGUAGGAUCUUUUGUUAUCAUAAAGAGCAAGGAAGUCUAAAGACAAAGAAAUGAAAACCAAAUUGUCACAGCAAAAUCAAAAUAUGUUAUGGCUACGUCAAAAACAGUUGGGCUGCAGAAUUUGCACUGGCAUCUGUCCUGGGGGAGUCUCUAAAGACCCCACAUGCCCACAUGAUUAAGAUGAAACUAUUGUGGUAAAAUUUGGUCCAAGAAUGCAGGUCCAAUAAUCUGCAAGAUGAAGUGUGUGCAAUUGUUAAAACAGGCCAGAAUUCGGUGGCGUGUUAUUGCUGGCACUCCUUUGAAGAGGAAAUGAGAAUACUUGUGCUCUGCAGAAGGUGGGCUGGUGGGUAGUUGGGUUUCACACCAGGACUGCAACUGUUCUGUUCCUUUGACUGCACAGAGGUGUGUGUGAUGGGAUGGGGAGCGUAUUGCCAGUGCCAUGCUGACUUAGGGCUCGUGUUGGGCCUGAUGGAUGAGACAGAUGGGCUGGGAGAAGGGUCUGUGUCAUGGAGCACUGAUUUGGCAGCAGUCGCUGGAGCUUGGUGAGUGCAAAGAGCCAGUCUCUGGUGCUCACAGAAGGUGCUGUGAUGACUGCUGGCAAAGGCCUCCUCUCUCCUUAGCAAGAAGUGAAACUCAGGACAGGCACAGCAAAGCACUGGUGGCUACUGGCCAACAUCCUUUGAGUCUGUCUGGAAGGAGCACUACUGGUCCAGACGGGGCUGGUUUUGCUGGUCCUUGCAGCAAAUAUCGUCUUUGUUCAGCCUGCUAGAAAGUUAGACAAGCUGUUCAAAUGACCUUGGCAGCUCUGGAGUACAGGUGCCAUCACUGGACUGAGACUAACCAUUAACUUCAAACAGUCCAAGCAGCCUUUAUAGUUAUAAAGCCUCUAAUUUCACUGCAGACACAGCAAAUGGAGCCUGAUAUCACAUUGUGUGAAGAUCUUUCAUCCAGCAAAUUUGUCCGGGCAGUCUACGUGAGCUGCCACAAAAGAAAUUCCAAUUAGGCAUUAGGGAAAAAAAAAAGCAUGAUGAACAACCAUCAUGAACAAACAGUGGAGCAAGUGACCAGAGGGGCUGGGGAGACUCCUUCCUUGAAGAUAUUCAAAAUGCAAUUAAACACAGCCCUAAGCAAUGUGGUGGAAGUUUUCCGAGCUCCAAGCAAGGAUUGGACCAGGUGAUCUCCAGAGAUCCCAUCCAACCUAAAAGAUUCCAUGAUUCUGUAAUUCUUCUAUAAUUUCUUAGAGACUCAUGAUAAAAUUGCCUAGGCUUGAAGAUGACUGCUUGGGGAUAGUGGGGCAUCCCUGUACUUCUUUAGAUAGGUUCAGCCUUAGUGAAUGCUUAUCCGUCCCAAAGGCAGUUAUACAAUGAGAAGAAGGUCUGCGGUAAAAUGACUGCAGUAAAACAAAUAAAAAUUAUGCCACUUGGGAGAAUCAAGUAUUUUGUUAAAAUAUGCUGUUAUAGAGUUUGAACACUGAUGGGACGAUAUCUUCAAUGUUAUAUUUGUUGUGUAAGUCAUUGCCUCUCAUUACAAAAGGGGGUAGAAAGGAGAGGAUCAUAAUCUCCACGUGAGAGGACAUUCAACAGGCCACCCACCAACACCUCUUACCCCCACUCCAAAGUAAUUGUCAAGAAAUUUGACUAAGCACAAAUUCUGCCAAAAUGUGGUUACUUGACACCUCUGGAGAAUCAACAUCUUGAACGAUUUAGUUUGGAGAAGAACUAAGGGAAUAUGAAACAGGCUCUGAUAUUUGCCAUUUUCCACAAUAAAGGAGGGAGGAGGGAAGGAAUUACUCAAAAUGAGAGGGAAACAAUAAAAUAUGUUAUAAGUCUGUAUACAUCCUGACAUGAAGUAACUAUUGACUUCGUUGCAUACAGUUAGUGAUUAGAGAUUAGAAUUUAUUUUUGAAGGUGCCCUUUCAGUCAAAACAAAUGGUGUAAUUGAUUCAAGCCUCUGUGCACAAAUACGAUGAUUUAGAGACAUGAAGAAGCAUCUUUGCAGAAAGCAGUGCAAAAUGCCAUGCAGGUGAUUUUUUAUUCCUUCUGUCCAUUACUCUCCCUUCCUUACAGUCAGUGCAUACCACAGCCCAACUCAAGGAUCAGCAAUGCAAGCAUCACAGUAGAAUACAUGAAAUUACAUACAGGAUUCACAGAGUUAUGGUUACUAAAUGCCUUGAUUACAAAAUACAGCAUGAAGAGUUCCAAGAUGAUGAAAUCCAUUCUAGCAGGGCUGUGCCAGAAAGCUAACCAGAAUCUUGAUCGAAGCAGUUAAAGCAAACCACAGAAUAGUUUUAUUGCAUUCACCACCCCCAAAUGAUUCAAUUCAGUUGCCAAAGUUAUUGCAGCACUCAAUGGACGAGAACAUCUUUUUUUCCUCUGCAAUGAAAGACUCUUAGAAACAAAAGUUGCUGUGUGCUACUGUGUCAUAUACUGUUCCAAUCCCACUCAUUAUUCACUACUAACAUUUUCACUGAACUGUAUCAACCUUAAAUUAUAUCAAUCCAUUAAACAGAUUUGAAGUUCUCCUAUUUAAAAUUGGUUUGAUAAGUGAAAACAUUU